rnacentral:rRNA from 1 species
AUUGAACGCUGGCGGCAGGCCUAACACAUGCAAGUCGAACGAGGGGCGGACGGGUGAGUAAUAUAUGGGAAAGUCCCUUAUAGCGGGGGAUAACUACUCGAAAGGGUAGCUAAUACCGCAUACUAGCAGAAAUGCCUAUAUGGGAUUAGCGAGUGGGUGGGGUAACGGCUCACCAAGGCGACGAUCCGUAGCUGGUCUGAGAGGAUGACCAGCCACACUGGGACUGAGACACGGUCCAGACUCCUACGGGAGGCAGCAGUGGGGAAUAUUGGACAAUGGGCGCAAGCCUGAUGCAGCCAUGCCGCGUGUAUGAAGAAGGCCUUCGGGUUGUAAAGUACUUUCAGUUGGGAUGCGUUACCUACAGAAUAAGCACCGGCUAACUCCGUGCCAGCCGCCGCGGUAAUUC